GACGGCAACGCCUAGCUUGUGGUAGAGGGGCCUGAACUCUACUAGGACUGUCUGUCGUACUUUGCCUGGUAGAGUUCAGGUACCUGAACGAGAUGGAGUUGGGAAAACGAACACUGGAGGACUGGAAACACUGGAUAUUGUCUAGUUGUUACUUGUUAGUGAUUCCAGAAUCGAGACGUGUUCAGCGGGGGGAUAAUAAAUCAGUGCGUUCCGUUUUAAACAUUCUUUUGGCUACUGGUUAAUAUACUGUUGUUUGCAAUUUUUCGUACCUACCUGAGGGACAAUUUUUCACUAGACGUCAUUUGAAUGUGCAGUUCCUAUCUGCAGCUCCCAGUCCUACAGUGUGAAAAAUAGACUUUUGAAAAAAUCUGCUUAUUGUGCUGAUCUGCACAAUGCCGGCUUCAUGUAAGCAAUUUUGAAAUGACCUAUCAACAGUCAUUUUGCUUUAUGUUUGGCUUUCAGAUGCAAAUCUACGACACAUAUUUAUAUUACCUAAACUGUUAUUAAACAUAGGACUGCACAAAGAUUUCAUUUGUUUCUCAAUACUAGUUUUGUAAAACAAAUGGUAAAUUGGUAAAAUGAAACAACACAUGACCUAUUACUUUAGAUAAAUUGUUUUCAAAAGUGGAGAUUGAUUCCAAAUCUUCAGCUUCCUAGGCUGACACCCAUCCACAAAGCAAUGGAGUCAUAGAACAAUGUGUGGAAUCUGAUUUACUAGCCCUUGAAACCCCAGCUGUCCUUCUGCUUCAACAAGACUAUAAAACAAUUAUAAUUUCAGGAGGCCCAACUCGGUUAACGCAGCGGAUGCCCCACUUUACGACCCAGCAAUCUUUACUUGCGUUCUUUUAGUGCCGGGAAUUUGUUAUGCAUGCAAUUACUCAACAAGGCAUUAGGUGGAACGGCGGAGAGAAAAGAUGUUUGCGAUGGGCAAUUCGAGAUCCAAGUAAAAACGGAGUGCCCAUUGUUUAAAGGCUUAGAGACUCGGCAAAAGGUAUUACUGAUCCAUGGUGACAGACAGUGUAGACAAGGUUGCAGAAGAGUUGCGUUGCGUCGCAUCAUCUUUGUGUCAUAUUAUUUCCGCUAUCGCUGAUUCUGAACGCCGUCUUUACGAAGUCAAUUUCCAUGAUUUGAGUGAAAACGGACGAAAAAUGUUGCACAACUUCUUGUUCGACAUCUUCAGAUUGCAAGGAGGUUUCACGUUGGAGAAAUGCGAGCAGCAGUGUAUCGUUUACAUCCGGAGUAUGGUCGGACGUGUUAAGAGCAUGCUCAUGCUGGUAAGCGGUGAAGUCGAUUUCGCCGUUUGUGCUGCCCUUUUCCAUGAAGCACUUCUACAGGUUAUAACCCGUCGAGAGUGCAGGGCAUCUACAUCGAUAACGGUUUCCUGCGUAAAGACGAAUCCGAGCAGGUCGUCACUAGUUUACAGCAACUCGGGGUUAUUCUUCGGGUAAUUUGAGAUACUUUUCUGGAUGGUUCAGUUUUAUUUUUGGCCAAAAUUUGAUUCGAGAUUCAUUGAUAAGUCGUCCUGUAACAUCACAAAUUCUAUGGCAGUGGCUUCUCAUUUCUUCUUCUUACCAGCGAUCAGAUUUGAGGUUUCAAAUGGUUUUAGUUUGUUAAAGCAAAUCUGACUUUCUACGGUUUUUCCAUCGACGUGCAUGGUCGCCAAACUUUGUCUUUAUGUCGGACUGUCAAUCCGUAAGAAAAACGUCGAAUUACUCGCGAUACGUUUGUCAAAGUGGCAGAUACAACGGCUAACGAUUUAAAUCUAACUUGGGAUAAUAUACUUCUCGAACAAGGUACUUUGAGACCGGAUUUAUGGCUUCUUCGCGCACCAUUAAGAUCUUUAAUCUUUUCGCAUUUUUUCCCCAAAAGACUUCCAUGAAGAUGAAGUAAGAGGUCUUUGAGUCAACGCAUUCCAUAAUGCCAGCGAUCAGUCGUUGUCCGACCAUUCCUUUCACAGGAUUUUGUGACUGGACUUCCCACAAUUCCUGAUACCUAUCUGCCCCAAGAGGUUGAAGACAAGAUGGUUGAAGCCGUCUUAACUGUUCCAGGAAUUUCCAGGGUCUUGUAUGACCGGACAGCGAAACCACCCGGGACAACGAAGUGGGAAUUAUUUGAUUUACGAUCGUUGCUUAGACAAAUGAUCUCCGCACGAUCCAUAGGAUGAUCUCCGCACGCUUCAUAAACUCGUUUUUUAAGAGGAGUUCACGUGAUGACUUGUUGACUAUUCCUAAAAUAUACAUGCACACUAGUUGGAAAUAAUGGGUGCAUUUGUUUUUCGUUGAACAGAUUACGUAUUGUUAAUGUGCAGCCAGGUGGGUUGUUGUUGCUCUCCCUUGUAGAAUUACCCUUUUUCGCCCAAUUGUUAAUCUAGUUCUUUUGGAACGUUCGGAUGUCGCCCAAAAACAAGCGUAAGGCCAUUCGAAGCGUUAUGCCAUUUACUGAAAUUGAACAUUCAGAAAAUGUGGUAUAUGUUCGCAAAUGGGUAAGAUUUAUUCAGAUUGGUACCAUAAAGUAAGACUGUAGGAAAGGGUACGUAGGCUUCUAAAAGUGAAGAACAGCUCCGACGUCUUUGGUAAGCGAAAAAGGUACUGCAAAGGGAAGCGUCACUUGACGGUUUCAAGGAUGGACUCUUUCGUUUGCUUUGCCCAAUGAAUCUGUGCUUGGAACUGGCAGGUGGUGUUUAGCAGUAGCACUCAAUCUUUAUUCUUAAAAACUAGGUGUUCUUCACUUUUCAGCGGGAUUGAUUGAUGAUACUUGUUGGUUAAACCAUGAAGAAUACCAAUAGAUGGAUUAAACAAAC
rnacentral:lncRNA from 1 species